rnacentral:rRNA from 1 species
GUGAGACAGUUCGGUCCCUAUCUGUUGUGGGCGUAAGAAGCUUGAGAGGACCUGACCUUAGUACGAGAGGACCGGGUUGGACUGACCGCUGGUGUACCAGUUGUAUCGCCAGAUGCACUGCUGGGUAGCUACGUCGGGAUGAGAUAAGCGCUGAAAGCAUCUAAGUGCGAAACUCACCUCAAGAUGAGGCUUCUAUAAAGGGACGUUGUAGAUGACGACGUUGAUAGGCUGCAGGUGUAAAGGCAGAGAUGUCAAAGCUGAGCAGUACUAAUUACCCAGUUG